rnacentral:lncRNA from 1 species
AUUGUCUCUAAAUUUAUCAUCUAAAUAGUCUCUAUAUUAGUCAGUUAAUCUCUAACUAAUACCCCAUGAAAGAACUCAGACAAGGAGAGCUCACCCAGCCUUGCUGGUCAGGGCAUUUUCCUGGAAUGUAAUCUGAGUCUGAACCUUGUUAUGCUUGUCAUGCUGGUAAGCAUUCUCCAGCAAGAGGAGGCAAAGAGAGAGUUCUGUUCCAGAUGUCAGAGAAACGUGCUAAUACUCCAGCAACAGCAAUGUUAUGCAUCUUUGAAAUUUGAUGUUGCCUGAGAAGCCAAUGAAAGGGAGAGAAAAAUAUUAGAAACAUAUUCAUCCAAGAUGCUUUCAUGGUUUAUGGCUAAUAUGUAUCCUGCUAGAAAAUUUACACCAGGCUGUCAUACAUCGCCAUCAAAUGGAGAAGAAUUCUGGGAAGCUUGCCUGAGUAUCAUACUGCAGGAGAUUCUGAUUAGCACAUACUAACAUUCGAAUGAUUCAUGGAAUGUGGGAAGAACUGAAGUAGACAUGCUUCUCAACAGAGCCUUAAAACUCAAAAGACUUGUUUCUGACCGAACCGAAAAGGGGAUUUUAACAUCGAAGAAGGAGCCUAUCAACUACAGCCCACCAGAGCCAUAGCUGCUUGUACUGAACAAUUUCACUGGAGCCCAUUUUCUCAGAGUCGUCUCCCUGCAUUCUCUAAAGUCUCUUCCCAAAGAAAUACAAAAAAUAUUUUGUUAAUGUCACCAAGAAAGUCAUCAAUUCUUCCCUCUAAGCUGAACAACAUAUAAUACUGACAAAAGAGUGCUUUAAACCUGAACAAGUUUGUGAACCAUCAACAUGUUUCUUCACCUUCCUAUUAUAAGACUCUAUUUUCUUCCUGAUCCCAAAACAAAAGAAUGUAAAUGAAGUUUACAUUCAAGAGAUGUAGGGAAGAAUUUCAGCUACUCCUGCACAUUGUGUGGCCAUUCAAAUCCAGUAACACUUAUUCUGAGCUCCUGUGGAAAAUAUCUGGAAAGCUUGUCCUUCCUGCCCUAUUAAAUGAUGAAAG